UUCUAACCGUAAACGAUGUUAACUAGCGACUCGCAGGCGUUACUUUAACGGCCCUGCGAGGAGCUCCCGGGAAACCUAAGUGUUCGAAUUCCGGGGGAAGUAUGGUUGCAAAGCUGAAACUUAAAGGAAUUGACGGAAGGGCACCACCAGGAGUGGAGCUUGCGGCUUAAUUUGACUCAACGCGGGGAAACUCACUUGGUCAGGACACUGUGAGGAUUGACAGAUUGAAAGCUCUUUCUUGAUUCGGUGGAUGGUGGUGCAUGGCCGUUCUUAGUUGGUGGAGUGAUUUGUCUGGUUAAUUCCGAUAACGAACGAGACUCUAUCUUGCUAACUAGUCACAGGAUUAUUCUGACUGUGGAGCUUCUUAGAAGGACAGGGGGUUACAACCCCACGAGAUUGAGCAAUAACAGGUCUGUGAUGCCCUUAGAUGUCCAAGGCUGCACGCGUGC
rnacentral:rRNA from 1 species